AUUGAACGCUGGCGGCAGGCCUAACACAUGCAAGUCGAGCGGCAGCGGGAAAGUAGCUUGCUACUUUUGCCGGCGAGCGGCGGACGGGUGAGUAAUGCCUGGGGAUCUGCCCAGUCGAGGGGGAUAACCACUGGAAACGUAGCUAAUACCGCAUACGCCCUACGGGGGAAAGCAGGGGACCUUCGGGGCCUUGCGCGAUUGGACUGAACCCAGGUGGGAUUAGCUAGUUGGUGAGGUAACGGCUCGACCAAGGCGACGAUCCCUAGCU
rnacentral:rRNA from 1 species